rnacentral:pre_miRNA from 1 species
UGGCUAUAAAAUAACAUAUUCUAUAGCCAUUUUGAGUUACGAUAAUAACUAUGUUAAUUUAUAAGAUUAUAGUAACUUCUUACUAAGUGGUUUGCUAUAACGUUACAAUAAAUAAUCUCAUAUGUUAUAGUAACUCAACUAUCGUAAAUAUGUAUACAUUUUAUCGUAAAUUAGUAAUAAAAUUAUUAUAAAUAAAAAUAGCUACAGAAUAACUUAUUAUAUAUAUA